UACGUAGGCAGCGAGCGUUGUUCGGAUUUACUGGGCGUAAAGGGCGCGUAGGCGGCCACCGCAAGUCGACUGUGAAAUCUCCGGGCUUAACCCGGAAAGGUCAGCCGAUACUGCGGGGCUAGAGUGCAGAAGGGGCAACUGGAAUUCUCGGUGUAGCGGUGAAAUGCGUAGAUAUCGAGAGGAACACCUGCGGCGAAGGCGGGUUGCUGGGCUGACACUGACGCUGAGGCGCGAAAGCUAGGGGAGCGAACGGG
rnacentral:rRNA from 1 species